rnacentral:rRNA from 1 species
AUGCACGCUGGCGGCGUGCUUAACACAUGCAAGUCGAACGAAGCACCUCUCCCGAAGAUUGACACAGCUUGCUGUAGAUUGAUUCAUUUGAGGUGACUGAGUGGCGGACGGGUGAGUAACGCGUGGGUAACCUGCCUCAUAGAGGGGGACAACAGUUGGAAACGACUGCUAAUACCGCAUAGUAAGAAGAAUUCGCAUGUUUUCUUCUUGAAAGAUUUAUCGCUAUGAGAUGGACCCGCGUCUGAUUAGCUAGUUGGUAAGGUAACGGCUUACCAAGGCGACGAUCAGUAGCCGGCUUGAGAGAGUGAACGGCCACAUUGGGACUGAGACACGGCCCAAACUCCUACGGGAGGCAGCAGUGGGGAAUAUUGCACAAUGGGGGAAACCCUGAUGCAGCGACGCCGCGUGAGUGAAGAAGUAUUUCGGUAUGUAAAGCUCUAUCAGCAGGGAAGAUAAUGACGGUACCUGACUAAGAAGCCCCGGCUAACUACGUG